rnacentral:rRNA from 1 species
UUUUGACCUGAACUCAGUCGAGAGCACCCGCUGAACUUAAGCAUAUCAGUAAGCGGAGGAAAAGAAACUAAAUAGGAUUCCCCCAGUAACGGCGAGUGAAAAGGGAAAAGUCCAUCGCUAAAUCGUUUUGCCUCAGGCAUUAUGAGGUGUAGCGUAUAAGUCUUAAACUUUGAUCUUUUGUCUCAAACAAGUCCCCUUGACAGAGGUUCCACAGAAGGUGCAAGUCCUGUACGUUGAGAUAAUUGAUCGAUAUUUGCGUGCUUUAGAGUCGGGUUGUUUGGGAUCGCAGCCCAAAGUCGGUGGUAAACUUCAUCUAAGACUUAAUAUUGCCACGAGACCGAUAGCAAACAAGUACUGUGAAGGAAAGUUGCAAAGCACUUUGAAGAGAGAGUUAAAGAGGACGUGAAACCGGUAAGGUGGAAACGGAUAGAGUCGGCGUAUCAUUCAAUUAUUCAGUUACAUUAUUUUUAUGUUGUGACCUCUGAGCUCCAGAUUGGGACAGAGGGAAUCAGCAUAAUUUUUUGUGGUGCAUUUACUUGAUUGGUGCUUGGGGAUGUUUGAGGCAGAUUUGUUUCCGUCGUUUUGAGGCCAGCUUGCUGGUACCCAAACGGUGUUAGCAUUUUUUGUCUUGGGCAUUUGAGUAUGGCUCACGUGUAUUUAUGACAGAUCUGAGUGUAAGUUACGGUCGCAUGCGACACGUGCUUUUCAAUUAGUUCGGUCCAGUUAAUGCUCUCGUACUCGUUCCCCAUGUAAAAGCCGGUCAUCUAUCCGACCCGUUUGAAACACGGACCAAGGAGUUUAUCGUGUGCGCAAGUUUUUGGGUGUUAAAAACUUAAAAGCGAAAUGAAAGUAAAUGACUCUUUAGAGUCUGAUGUGCGAUCUUGUAAAAAAGUGUAGCAUGGCCCCAUUCUAACUGUUUACAGUAGGGUGGCGGAAGAGCGUACGCGGUGAGACCCGAAAGAUGGUGAACUAUUCCUGAGCAGGACGAAGCCAGAGGAAACUCUGGUGGAAGUCCGAAGCGGUUCUGACGUGCAAAUCGAUCGUCUGACUUGGGUAUAGGGGCGAAAGACUAAUCGAACCAUCUAGUAGCUGGUUCCCUCUGAAGUUUCCCCCAGGAUAGCUGGAGCUCAAGAGUAGUUAUACUCGGUAAAGCGAAUGAUUAGGACUUGGGAACGAAAUGUUCUUAACCUAUUCUCAAACUCUAAAUGGUUAUGAUGUCAAAGUUGCUUGAUUUUGAACUUUGGCGUUGAAUACGAGCUCCAAGUGGGCCAUUUUUGGUAAGCAGAACUGGCGAUGUGGGAUGAACCAAACGCGGAGUUGCGGUGCCAAAGUAUCCGCUCAUUAGACCCCAUAAAAGGUGUUGGUUGAUACAGACAGCAGGACGGUGGCCAUGGAAGUCGGAAUCCGCUAAGGAGUGUGUAACAACUCACCUGCCGAAUCAACUAGCCCUGAAAAUGGAUGGCGCUGGAGCGGGUCACCUAUACUCUGCCGUCAUAAGCUUGUAUUUUGUUAAAAAGUCUUGCAAUGACGUGUAAGAGGGUCGUAGUGGUUGCGUUGAAGGCUUUGGGUGUGCACCCAGCUGGAGCUUCCACUAGUGCAAUCUUGGUGGUAGUAGCAAAUAUUCAAGUGAGAUCCUUGAAGACUGAAGUGGAGAAGGGUUCCACGUGAACAGCAGUUGAAUGUGGGUCAGUCGAUCCUAAGGCACCGGCUAAAGCCGUCUAGACACUGCGGGGAGAUGAGAUACUUAACGGUAACUUGUCUACCUGGUUGCCGAAAGGGAAGUGGGUUAAUAUUCCCACACCAGGCAUGGGAGAUUGUGAUCCGCGAGGAUUACUUUGCGCGGUGACGCAAACGAACUCGCAGACCUCGUGUGGAGUCCGGGCCAGAGUUCUCUUUUCUGGUUUAGAGAUUAUGUCCCUGGAAGUGGCUCAGCCUGAGAUAGGGAUGCUGGUCUCGUAAAGCGCAGCGGUUCCUGUUGUGUCCCGUGUGCUCCACAUGAGCCGUGAAAAUGCGAGGGAGGCAAUUUAAAAUCUCCUGCCUGAUCGUAUUCAUAUCCGCAGCAGGUCUCCAAGGUGAACAGCCUCUAGUCGAUAGAAUAAUGUAGGUAAGGGAAGUCGGCAAAUUAGAUUCGUAACUUCGGGAAAAGAAUUGGCUCUAAAGGUUGGGUCAGUCGGGCUGUUGUGUGAAACAGGUGGACUUUGCUCGUGGCUGCUUGAGCUUCCUUUCGGGGCGGCGCUUGUGGACUAGUAGUGAGGACUGCUUGUGGAGCGCUUCAGCUGCGUGCUAUUUCGCAAGAUGUAGUACUUCGAUUGGCGCUGAACAACCAGUUUAGAACUGGCACGAACUCCGGGAAUCCGACUGUCUAAUUAAAACAGAGGAGACGGAUGGUCCUUGCAGGACGUUGACCGUGUCUGAUUUCUGCCCAGUGCUCUGAAUGUUAAGCCAAGGAAACUUGAUUAAGCGCGGGUAAACGGCGGGAGUAACUAUGACUCUCUUAAGGUAGCCAAAUGCCUCGUCGGCUAACUACCGACGCGCACGAAUGGAUCAACGAGAUUCCCACUGUCCCUAUCUACUAUCUAGCGAAACCACAGCCAAGGGAACGGGCUUGGCAAAUUUAGCGGGGAAAGAAGACCCUGUUGAGCUUGACUCUAGUCUGACUUUGUGAAGAAUCAUGAGAGGUGUAGCAUAAGUGGGAGUCGCAAGACAACAGUGGGAUAACUGGCUUGUGGCGGCCAAGCGUCCAUAGCGACGUCGCUUUUUGAUCCUUCGAUGUCGGCUCUUCCUAUCAUUGCGAAGCAGAAUUCGCCAAGCGUUGGAUUGUUCACCCACCAAUAGGGAACGUGAGCUGGGUUUAGACCGUCGUGAGACAGGUUAGUUUUACCCUACUAAAUACUUGUUGCUAUGAUGGUAAUCCUGCUUAGUACGAGAGGAACCGCAGGUUCAGACAUUUGGUUCAUGUGCUUGGUCGAUAGGCCAAUGGCGCGAAGCUACCAUCUGAGGGAUUAUGACUGAACGCCUCUAAGUCAGAAUCCCGCCCAGUCAUGAUAGCAAUAUAUAUCGCUCUCCGGUGUCGGAAGGCAAAAUGUAUGCCAUUUUUUGUGGUAGUACAAGCCCCAGUAUCUGGCAUUUUCUUUCUACUAUAAUUGGUAGUUGGUUGCUAAAAGCUUAGCACUCCUCGUGCAUGUGUAACGUCGGGGCGCAAAAUCACUUGU